ensembl:lncRNA
GCCCUUACCUGCUGAACUGUCUCACUGCCCUGUGGUCUUAUUGUAGGUGGGCACCAAUGGGAUCAUCUCCGCCCAGGACUUACCCAGGGAGACUUAAUAUGUCGUUGAUGAUUUUCCUACUGACUUCCCAGCCAUCGCCCCAUUCCUGGCUGACAUCCACUUGAGUCACAGCAGUGGCCGGAUCCUGUAUGGAGGACACCUCCUGGGCUGUGCUGAGUCUGGCUGCUUGAUACCUGUGCACAGGCUUCCCCCCACCCACUUCUUCCUGGCCACCUGAGAGCAAGUGGGCGCCUAGGAGGAGGACAGGCUUGGUUGGGGCUGCCUGGUCUGGAGAGGAUAUGGAGACUGCGAUGAUUUUAAUCUGGAGGAUGCGCUGAAAGAAACUUCCUCAGUAAAGCAUGACUCAAAGAAACAAGUCCACCAAGCAAACACAAGUGGUCGGCCAUGCACCACACUGACAAUCUUGCCUUCAGAAAAGUACACGCAUAUGAGACUAGCUGUACCUCCAUCUACCUGUUUGUUCUGUUGUGCAAGGCUUGUGUCGUUUUGUCAUACGUGUGUCAUCUUCCUUUUAAAUUUAGAAAAUUUCAUAAUUUUCAUUAUGUUGAAACCACAAGAGAACAUGCAUCUGCCUUCGCCUUUUUUCUGCUGUACAAAAAGAGAACUCCGACCCGUUUCAUUCCUCUCACUGUUUGGUUUUGAGACAGGGUCUCUUGAUUUAGCCCGAGUUGUCCUGAAAUUCUCUGUGCCUAGAAGCCCGGCUUUGACUUGGGUCCAGUGCUAGAGCAACAGUGACUCUUGGCCACUGAUGUGCAUUUCUAGCUUCAGAACCCAUGGCUUUUUAUGAUUCUUCAGUGUGAUCCCCACAAUGUCCUUGGGGACUUAUACCGAGACCAUUCUCACGAUGUGACUUUUGUAAACCAUAAAGCAGCCACUGUGUUUUACAAUCUGCUUCCUUUCGUCCUCCCUUCUCCCUUCAGAGAGCCACUUUAGCACCACGACUAGAAGGACAGGAACAACCAGAGCCCCAUCAAAUCCAGCAGGUAAUGAGGUGUGGGAAGUGAGGAAGGCCAGACUCACCUGAGAAGGGACACAAGGAGGGACUCGUUAGGACUCCAUCUGGGACAGGGUCAAAAGGAGCCAUGUAGAAUUUUUAGCUGCACAUAUGAAAAGUUAG